UGCCAUUGAGUGAGAGGUUGAGUGCC
rnacentral:piRNA from 1 species